rnacentral:rRNA from 1 species
GAGUUUGAUCCUGGCUCAGAUUGAACGCUGGCGGCAGGCCUAACACAUGCAAGUCGAGCGGCAGCGGGUAGAAAGCUUGCUUUCUAUGCCGGCGAGCGGCGGACGGGUGAGUAAUACCUAGGAAUCUGUCCAUUAGUGGGGAAUAACCAGCCGAAAGGUUGGCUAAUACCGCAUACGCCCUACGGGGGAAAGGGGGGAUCUUCGGACCUCCCGCUAAUGGGGGAGCCUAGGCCGGAUUAGCUAGUUGGUAGGGUAAAGGCCUACCAAGGCGACGAUCCGUAGUUGGUCUGAGAGGAUGACCAGCCACACUGGGACUGAGACACGGCCCAGACUCCUACGGGAGGCAGCAGUGGGGAAUAUUGCACAAUGGGCGAAAGCCUGAUGCAGCCCAUGCCGCGUGUGUGAAGAAGGCC